UAGGAUACUGUUCUAGAAUUAUAAUGUGGAUCUUUGGAAGUAACAGAUUGGAAAUCCAUGAUGCGGAGAUCGAAUUACGUAGGGAUGUGUUUUACGUAAAUUAUGCGUUCUACUGUUAUAAACUCUGAGAAGUGAUUUGAUAAUUGUUCUAGGCGACGAUGGUUCAUGAUGACUUGAUAUUCGUACUAGGGAGUCAUAGCGUGAACCUCAGGUGAGUGGGUCUUUUCCUUUUAUCGUAUAUAUAUGUGAUUGAUAAUACUGCAAACGCUUUUAAUUUGAUUUAUGCAUAUGUAUACCAUGUCACACAUAUAUUUAUAUAGUCUAAGAUACUAUGAUAUGGUUGAGUGUUAGAUUGCAUUAUGGCAUAUCUAUAUGCAUAUUACCUACAUAUAAUGACUAUGAUUGCUUUGACGUACUAAGUUGAACUA
rnacentral:lncRNA from 1 species